rnacentral:rRNA from 1 species
GAUGAAUGCUGGCGGCGUGCCUAAUACAUGCAAGUCGAGCGAAAAGACGAGGAGCUUGCUCCUCUGACGUUAGCGGCGGACGGGUGAGUAACACGUGGAUAACCUACCUAUAAGACUGGGCUAACUUCGGGAAACCGGAGCUAAUACCGGAUAAUAUAUUGAACCGCAUGGUUCAUUAGUGAAAGACGGUUUUGUUGUCCCUUAUAGAUGGAUCCGCGCCGCAUUAGCUAGUUGGUAAGGUACCGGCUUACCAAGGCAACGAUGCGUAGCCGACCUGAGAGGGUGGUCGGCCACACUGGAACUGAGACACGGUCCAGACUCCUGCGGGAGGCAGCAGUAGAGAAUCUUCCGCGAUGGGCGAAAGCCUGACGGAGCAACGCCGCGUGAGUGAUGAAGGUCUUCGGAUCGGAGAACUCUGUUAUUAGGGAAGAACUAAUGUGUAAGUAACUAUGCACGUCCUGACGGUACCUAAUCAGAAAGCCACGGCUAACUACGUG